GACGAACGCUGGCGGCGUGCCUAAUACAUGCAAGUCGAGCGAAGCGGCGGAUGGGUGAGUAACGCGUGGGUAACCUGCCCUUAAGUCUGGGAUACCAUUUGGAAACAGAUGCCAAUACCGGAUACUAAAGGAUGGACCUGCGAUGCAUUGGCUAGUUGGUAAGGUAACGGCUGACAAAGGCGAUGAUGCAUAGCGGAGUUGAGGGACUGAUCGGCCACAUUGGAACUGAGACACGGCCCAAACUCCACCGGGAGGCAGCAGUAGGGAAUCUUCCACAAGGGACGAAAGUCUGAUGGAGCAACGCCGCGUGAGUGAAGAAGGUUUUCGGAUCGUAAAGCUCUGUUGUUGGUGAAGCGGUAAUCAACCAGAAAGUCACGGCUAACUACGUGCCAGCAGCCGCGGUAAUAC
rnacentral:rRNA from 1 species